rnacentral:lncRNA from 1 species
AGCAGCUGAAACAGGCAGUGCUGGGGCCCAGAAGCCCAGAAAUAGUCAGAAACACAGAUGGCAUAGAGUAGAGUCAGAAGUGCUUCUGGGGAGCAGGCUGGGGGCUCACAGUGCUGUAUUGUUGGGAGGGAACUGAAGGAAAAGCACCAUAUUUGACAACAGACUGCAGGCUGCAGUAAAAGGUAGUAAACAGAGGGCACUUAAUGCAGUGGUUAUAAGUGGGGUCCUUGCAGCUGGAACACCUAGGGUCACUUACCGGCUCCCAGCUGCAUGACCUUAGCAACAUGACUUAACCUCUCUGGGCCUCUAUGCCCCUUCUCUGUAAAACAGGGAAGGUCUGUUUCCUAGGGUUACUGUGAGUGCAAAAUGAAUGAAUACUUGUAGAACACAUGCUGUCUCUGAUGGGUAAUAAAUGUUAUUUCUGAUGGCGAAUGAAUUCAAAAGAAAAAGACAAGUUCUCAUGAGUAAAUCAAAAGUGUUUUGCUUAGAAGGCAUGUUUCCUUUGCUUUUUCUUCCUGUCUUUGCUGGUUCAGAACUCAUGCCCCCUAAAUUUUAUACAGAAUUUGCUGUUUUCUGAAAAAUUAUUAUAAACUAGGUUCAAGGUCGUUACUUUUAGCUGCUGACAGGAAACGGGGACGUCCUGUUGACCGCUGAUAGGUCUGACAUCAAACAUAUCCAACUCCAGCUGUCCCAGAUCCUCUUCCCUGACGUCAAAAGGCAGUACUGGUUUUCCAGUCCUCCAAGUGCAAA